GCCUGGGUGGCUCAGUGGUUAAGCAUCUGUCUUCUGCUCAGGUUGUGAUCCCGGGGUUGUAGGAUCAAGUCCCACAUCAGGCU
rnacentral:tRNA from 1 species